UACGGGGGGGGCAAGCGUUGUUCGGAAUUACUGGGCGUAAAGGGCGCGUAGGCGGAUAGUUUAGUCAGAGGUGAAAGCCCAGGGCUCAACCUUGGAACUGCCUUUGAUACUGGCUAUCUUGAGUUCGGGAGAGGUGAGUGGAAUGCCGAGUGUAGAGGUGAAAUUCGUAGAUAUUCGGCGGAACACCAGUGGCGAAGGCGACUCACUGGCCCGAUACUGACGCUGAGGCGCGAAAGCGUGGGGAGCAAACAGG
rnacentral:rRNA from 1 species